CACAGGAGAUGGUGUUCAUGAGUAAACACAGGAGAUGGUGUUGAUGUUGAUAAAACACAGGAGAUGGUGUUGAUGUUGAGUAAACACAGGACAUGGUGUUCAUGAGUAAACACAGGAGAUGGUGUUGAUUGAUAAACACAGGAGAUGGUGUUGAUGAGUAAACACAGGAGAUGGUGUUGAUGAGUAAACACAGGAGAUGGUGUUGAUGAUGAGUAAACACAGGAGAUGGUGUUGAUGGUGAGUAAACACAGGAGAUGGUGUUGAUGGUGAGUAAACACAGGAGUUGGUGUUGAUGGUGAGUAAACACAGGAGAUGGUGUUUGAUGAUUAAACACAGGAGUUGGUGUUGAUGGUGAGUAAACACAGGAGAUGGUGUUUGAUGAGUAAACACAGGAGAUGGUGUUGAUGAGUAAACACAGGAGAUGGUGUGUAGUAGGAUGGUUGAGUAAACACAGAGAUGGUGUUGAUGUUGAGUAAACACAGGAGUUGGUGUUGAUGUUGAGUAAACACAGGAGAUGGUGUUGAUGAGUAACACAG
ensembl:lncRNA